AGCAGCCGCGGUAAUUCCAGCUCCAAUAGCGUAUAUUAAAGUUGUUGCAGUUAAAAAGCUCGUAGUUGAAUUUCGGGAUUAAUUUACUGGUCGUGCUUUUGUACGUACUGGUUUUAUUGAUUCCUACCUUCUGACGAACCAUGAUGUCAUUAAUUUGGUGUCUUGGGGAAUCAGGACUGUUACUUUGAAAAAAUUAGAGUGUUUAAAGCAGGCUCACGCUUGAAUACAUUAGCAUGGAAUAACGAAAUAGGACGUUUGAUUCUAUUUUGUUGGUUUCUAGGAUCGACGUAAUGAUUAAUAGGGAUAGUUGGGGGCAUUAGUAUUCAAUUGUCAGAGGUGAAAUUCUUGGAUUUAUUGAAGACUAACUACUGCGAAAGCAUUUGCCAAGGAUGUUUUCAUUAAUCAAGAACGAAAGUUAGGGGAUCGAAGACGAUCAGAUACCGUCGUAGUCUUAACCAUAAACUAUGCCGACUAGGGAUCGGAUGAUGUUAAUUUUUUAAUGACUCAUUCGGCGCCUUACGGGAAACCAAAGUUGG
rnacentral:rRNA from 1 species